UAUAAGUGAUGGCGACUGGCGCACGGGUGAGUAACACGUAUCCAACCUGCCGAUAACUCGGGGAUAGCCUUUCGAAAGAAAGAUUAAUACCCGAUGGUAUAAUAAAACCGCAUGGUUUAAUUAUUAAAGAAUUUCGGUUAUCGAUGGGGAUGCGUUCCAUUAGGCAGUUGGUGAGGUAACGGCUCACCAAACCUUCGAUGGAUAGGGGUUCUGAGAGGAAGGUCCCCCACAUUGGAACUGAGACACGGUCCAA
rnacentral:rRNA from 1 species